UACGGUGAGCAAUCGCUGCCGAACGGUAUAUUGCCGUACGGUAGAGGAAAGUCGAGACACGCANNGCCCGGUGUAAGCCGGGGCAGGGCGACCUGACGACGGUAAAAUAAACCCACUGGGUUUUAAGUAACCGUAAAGUGCCACAGAAACUAAGUCACCGGGCAAUCGGUGAGUGCAAGGGUAAACUCCGCCAGCGUGCAACCCAAAUAGGCGGUCUUUGAACCGCGGGUAGGGGCACCCCGUAAGGGGAGGCAGAUCGGAAGGUUUGCCUAGAUAGAUGAUUGCUAGACAGAAUCUCGCUUAUAGCC
rnacentral:RNase_P_RNA from 1 species